UACGUAGGUGGCAAGCGUUGUCCGGAAUUAUUGGGCGUAAAGCGCGCGCAGGCGGUCCUUUAAGUCUGGUGUGAAAGCCCACGGCUCAACCGUGGAGGGUCAUUGGAAACUGGGGGACUUGAGUACAGAAGAGGAAAGCGGAAUUCCACGUGUAGCGGUGAAAUGCGUAGAGAUGUGGAGGAACACCAGUGGCGAAGGCGGCUUUCUGGUCUGUAACUGACGCUGAGGCGCGAAAGCGUGGGGAGCAAACAGG
rnacentral:rRNA from 1 species